UACGGAGGAUGCGAGCGUUAUCCGGAUUUAUUGGGUUUAAAGGGUGCGUAGGCGGAUUUUUAAGUCAGCGGUAAAAUGUCCGGGCUCAACCCGGGCCGGCCGUUGAAACUGGCGUUCUUGAGUGGGCGAGAAGUAUGCGGAAUGCGUGGUGUAGCGGUGAAAUGCAUAGAUAUCACGCAGAACUCCGAUUGCGGAGGCAGCAUACCGGCGCCCUACUGACGCUGAGGCACGAAAGCGUGGGUAUCGAACAGG
rnacentral:rRNA from 1 species